AACGUAGGAGACAAACGUUAUCCGGAGUUACUGGGCGUAAAGGGCGUGUAGGCGGUUUGUUAAGUCUGGCGUGAAAGCUCUCGGCUAAACCGGGAGAGGUCGUUGGAUACUGGCAAACUAGAGGACGGUAGAGGCGUGUGGAAUUCCGGGUGUAGUGGUGAAAUGCGCAGAUAUCAGGAGGAACACCGGUGGCGAAGGCGGGUCUCUGGGCCGAUACUGACGCUGAGGAGCGAAAGCGUGGGGAGCGAACAGG
rnacentral:rRNA from 1 species